UUAAGAAUCUUGCACAAUGGGGGCAACCCUGAUGCAGCGACGCCGCGUGAAUGAUGAAGGCCUUCGGGUUGUAAAGUUCAGUAAGCAGGGAAGAAUAAGCAACGGGUAAUAUUCGUUGUGAUGACGGUACCUGCCUAAAGCCCCGGCUAACUACGUGCCAGCAGCCGCGGUAAUACGUAUGGGGCAAGCGUUGUUCGGAAUUAUUGGGCGUAAAGGGCGUCUAGGCGGGGGAUUAAGUUAGAUGUGAAAGCCAUGGGCUCAACCCGUGAACUGCAUCUAAGACUGGUUCUCUUGAGUUCGGGAGAGGAGAGCGGAAUUCCAGGUGUAGCGGUGAAAUGCGUAGAUAUCUGGAAGAACACCAGUGGCGAAGGCGGCUCUCUGGCCUAGAACUGACGUUGAAGCGCGAAAGCGUGGGGAGCGAACA
rnacentral:rRNA from 1 species